rnacentral:rRNA from 1 species
CGUUACAGGUUCUCAGUGUGCUUCUGGCAAAACACCAAUUUUCUAUGGUUGC